CAAAAAUGCACAUAUUGUGAGCUCGAUGAGUAGGGCGGGACACGUGGUAUCCUGUCUGAAUAUGGGGGGACCAUCCUCCAAGGCUAAAUACUCCUGACUGACCGAUAGUGAACCAGUACCGUGAGGGAAAGGCGAAAAGAACCCCGGCGAGGGGAGUGAAAAAGAACCUGAAACCGUGUACGUACAAGCAGUGGGAGCACGCUUAGGCGUGUGACUGCGUACCUUUUGUAUAAUGGGUCAGCGACUUAUAUUCUGUAGCAAGGUUAACCGAAUAGGGGAGCCGAAGGGAAACCGAGUCUUAACUGGGCGUUAAGUUGCAGGGUAUAGACCCGAAACCCGGUGAUCUAGCCAUGGGCAGGUUGAAGGUUGGGUAACACUAACUGGAGGACCGAACCGACUAAUGUUGAAAAAUUAGCGGAUGACUUGUGGCUGGGGGUGAAAGGCCAAUCAAACCGGGAGAUAGCUGGUUCUCCCCGAAAGCUAUUUAGGUAGCGCCUCGUGAAUUCAUCUCCGGGGGUAGAGCACUGUUUCGGCAAGGGGGUCAUCCCGACUUACCAACCCGAUGCAAACUGCGAAUACCGGAGAAUGUUAUCACGGGAGACACACGGCGGGUGCUAACGUCCGUCGUGAAGAGGGAAACAACCCAGACCGCCAGCUAAGGUCCCAAAGUCAUGGUUAAGUGGGAAACGAUGUGGGAAGGCCCAGACAGCCAGGAUGUUGGCUUAGAAGCAGCCAUCAUUUAAAGAAAGCGUAAUAGCUCACUGGUCGAGUCGGCCUGCGCGGAAGAUGUAACGGGGCUAAACCAUGCACCGAAGCUGCGGCAGCGACACUGUGUGUUGUUGGGUAGGGGAGCGUUCUGUAAGCCUGUGAAGGUGUGCUGUGAGGCAUGCUGGAGGUAUCAGAAGUGCGAAUGCUGACAUAAGUAACGAUAAAGCGGGUGAAAAGCCCGCUCGCCGGAAGACCAAGGGUUCCUGUCCAACGUUAAUCGGGGCAGGGUGAGUCGACCCCUAAGGCGAGGCCGAAAGGCGUAGUCGAUGGGAAACAGGUUAAUAUUCCUGUACUUGGUGUUACUGCGAAGGGGGGACGGAGAAGGCUAUGUUGGCCGGGCGACGGUUGUCCCGGUUUAAGCGUGUAGGCUGGUUUUCCAGGCAAAUCCGGAAAAUCAAGGCUGAGGCGUGAUGACGAGGCACUACGGUGCUGAAGCAACAAAUGCCCUGCUUCCAGGAAAAGCCUCUAAGCAUCAGGUAACAUCAAAUCGUACCCCAAACCGACACAGGUGGUCAGGUAGAGAAUACCAAGGCGCUUGAGAGAACUCGGGUGAAGGAACUAGGCAAAAUGGUGCCGUAACUUCGGGAGAAGGCACGCUGAUAUGUAGGUGAAGCGACUUGCUCGUGGAGCUGAAAUCAGUCGAAGAUACCAGCUGGCUGCAACUGUUUAUUAAAAACACAGCACUGUGCAAACACGAAAGUGGACGUAUACGGUGUGACGCCUGCCCGGUGCCGGAAGGUUAAUUGAUGGGGUCAGCGCAAGCGAAGCUCUUGAUCGAAGCCCCGGUAAACGGCGGCCGUAACUAUAACGGUCCUAAGGUAGCGAAAUUCCUUGUCGGGUAAGUUCCGACCUGCACGAAUGGCGUAAUGAUGGCCAGGCUGUCUCCACCCGAGACUCAGUGAAAUUGAACUCGCUGUGAAGAUGCAGUGUACCCGCGGCAAGACGGAAAGACCCCGUGAACCUUUACUAUAGCUUGACACUGAACAUUGAGCCUUGAUG
rnacentral:rRNA from 1 species